rnacentral:rRNA from 1 species
UACGUAGGGGGCUAGCGUUGUCCGGAAUUAUUGGGCGUAAAGAGCUCGUAGGCGGUGUGUCGCGUCGGCCGUGAAAACCUGCAGCUUAACUGUGGGCGUGCGGUCGAUACGGGCAUCACUGGAGUUCGGCAGGGGAGACUGGAAUUCCUGGUGUAGCGGUGAAAUGCGCAGAUAUCAGGAGGAACACCGGUGGCGAAGGCGGGUCUCUGGGCCGAUACUGACGCUGAGGAGCGAAAGCGUGGGGAGCGAACAGG